rnacentral:tRNA from 1 species
AAGGGAGACCUAAUUCAGGUAGGGGACGAAAAAAAAGUAGUCCCUACCAAGAAUCAAUCCCAAAAGGUCGGAGCGAGGCAAAAUUGGCUUUCAAACUAGGUUCUGGGUUCACACAAGACCUGAAUCAGGAACAAGGGCUAUUAGCUCAGGUGGUUAGAGCGCACCCCUGAUAAGGGUGAGGUCCCUGGUUCGAGUCCAGGAUGGCCCACCUGUACAGGUGGCAAAAAGAAAGAAAAGAAGCGAGGAAUCAGCACCUUAUCUUACUUAUAUAGUAAGAGAGAAUGCUGGCUCUGAGUUCAGAGUCCAGAGGAACCUUGAAAACUGCAUAGAGCUAGGUGAAAAAGCCAAAAAAGAAGACCGCAA